rnacentral:rRNA from 1 species
UACGUAGGGCGCGAGCGUUGUCCGGAAUUAUUGGGCGUAAAGAGCUCGUAGGCGGCCUGUUGCGUCCGCUGUGAAAUCCCAGGGCUUAACCCUGGGCGUGCAGUGGAUACGGGCAGGCUGGAGGCAGGCAGGGGAGAACGGAAUUCCCGGUGUAGCGGUGAAAUGCGCAGAUACCGGGAGGAACACCGGUGGCGAAGGCGGUUCUCUGGGCCUGUGCUGACGCUGAGGAGCGAAAGCGUGGGGAGCGAACAGG